rnacentral:snoRNA from 10 species
GUUGAUUGAAAAUCACCCGCGGCUUUGGUCGUGGCCGCGGGUGAGAUUCGGCGCCCAGAGCCACCGGGGGCCUCAGCUCACCGCCCACUCGUCGGUGUGGGGAGGUGAAACCCAGGCCCCGACAAGC